rnacentral:rRNA from 1 species
GAUGAACGCUGGCGGCGUGCUUAACACAUGCAAGUUGAACGAAGUGGCGGAUGGGCGAGUAACACGUGAGGAACCUGCCUUUCACAGGGGAAUAACACUGGGAAACCAGUGCUAAUACCGCAUAGUGAAAGAUGGCCUCGCGCCUGAUUAGCUAGUAGGUGAGGUAACGGCUCACCUAGGUGAGGAUCAGUAGCCGGAGGUAAGGUUGAUCGGCCGGAUUGGGACUGGUACACGGAGCAGACUACUACGGGCGGCAGAAGUGGGGAAGAGCGGGCAAUGCCGCAAGGUUGACACAGCAACGCGGCGUGAAGGAAGACUGUUUUCGGAUUGUAAACUGCUUGAGACAGGGACGCGGUACCUGUAGAAUAAGCCACGGCUAACUACGUGCCAGCAGCCGCGGUAAUAC